CCGGCGCACGGGUGAGUAACGCGUAUCCAACCUGCCACCACUUGGGGAUAACCUUGCGAAAGUAAGACUAAUACCCAAUGAUAUCUCUAGAAGACAUCUGAAAGAGAUUAAAGAUUCAUCGGUGAUGGAUGGGGAUGCGUCUGAUUAGCUUGUUGGCGGGGUAACGGCCCACCAAGGCAACGAUCAGUAGGGGUUCUGAGAGGAAGGUCCCCCACAUUGGAACUGAGACACGGUCCAA
rnacentral:rRNA from 1 species